CUUGGUCAUUUAGAGGAAGUAAAAGUCGUAACAAGGUUUCCGUAGGUGAACCUGCGGAAGGAUCAUUAAAGAAUUGCCCCAUUUUUUGAAAUGGGUUCUAUUCCCAAACCGUGUAUACAUACCUUUGUUGCUUUGGCAAGCCGUCCUUCGGGCGCAGCUUCGGCUGAGAGCGCUUGCCAGAGGACCCCAACUCUUUUGUUUAGUGAUGUCUGAGUACUAUAUAAUAGUUAAAACUUUCAACAACGGAUCUCUUGGUUCUGGCAUCGAUGAAGAACGCAGCGAAAUGCGACAAGUAAUGUGAAUUGCAGAAUUCAGUGAAUCAUCGAAUCUUUGAACGCACAUUGCGCCCCUUGGUAUUCCGAGGGGCAUGCCUGUUCGAGCGUCAUUAUGACCACUCAAGCCUAGCUUGGUAUUGGGGUUCGCGGUCUCGCGGCUCUUAAAAUCAGUGGCGGUGCCAUCUGGCUCUAAGCGUAGUAAUUCUCUCGCUAUAGGGCUCCGGUAGUUGCUUGCCAAAACCCCCCUAUUUCUCACGGUUGACCUCGGAUCAGGUAGGGAUACCCGCUGAACUUAAGCAUAUCAAUAAGCGGAGGA
rnacentral:rRNA from 1 species